rnacentral:rRNA from 1 species
UUAGUAACGGCGAGUGAAGCGGUAACAGCUCAAAUUUGAAAUCUGGCUCCCUGCGGAGUCCGAGUUGUAAUUUGUAGAAGAUGCUUUGGGUGCACGACCCGGCCUAAGUGCCUUGGAACAGGACGUCGUAGAGGGUGAGAAUCCCGUAUGCGGCCGGCGUCGACGCCCGUGUAAAGCUCUUUCGACGAGUCGAGUUGUUUGGGAAUGCAGCUCAAAAUGGGUGGUAAAUUUCAUCUAAAGCUAAAUAUGGGCCAGAGACCGAUAGCGCACAAGUAGAGUGAUCGAAAGAUGAAAAGCACUUUGGAAAGAGAGUUAAACAGUACGUGAAAUUGUUGAAAGGGAAGCGCUUGCAACCAGACUUGGGCGUCGCUGAUCAUCCAAAGUUCUCUUUGGUGCACUCGGCGACGCACAGGCCAGCAUCGGUUGGGGUGGUGGGAGAAAGACUGUAGGAACGUAGCUCUUUUCGGAGAGUGUUAUAGCCUGCGGUGCAAUACUGCCUACCUCGACCGAGGACCGCGCUUCGGCUAGGAUGCUGGCGUAAUGGUUGUAAGCGACCCGUCUUGAAACACGGACCAAGGAGUCUAACAUCUAUGCGAGUGUUUGGGUGCGAAACCCAUGCGCGAAAUGAAAGUGAACGUAGGUGAGAACCCUUUGAGGGGGCAUCAUCGACCGAUCCUGAUGUCUUCGGAUGGAUUUGAGUAUGAGCAUAGCUGUUGGGACCCNAAANAUGGUGAACUAUNCCUNAAUANGGUGAAC